GGUUGAUCCUGGGUAACUGAAAUCAUGGAAAGCAAAUCCAUGGAUAAGGGGGAACUCCUGUAAUGUCUGAAAACCAGAUCUUGAAUAACCAGUUGGAGCAGAAGAACCUGUCUGCAUCCCAAGCGCAAGUUGCACGGAGUUCAAAAGCUCUUAUGUCGAGUACCCUAGAUGUUUUGGCUGAAGACAGUUUGCACCAUUUGAGAGAAGCUCAUCAAUCUUAAAGAAAAACGUCUGCCAUGUGUUGGGCAUCCAUAACAGCCGGGCUGACUAUCACUCUGUGGCUCCAAAGGCGUCAACAGUGAGAGCGGAUCUGGACUCCUGCGAAGUGUGAUGGAAUUGGCUGGAUUUCAUGUGACGAGCUCAGAUUAUGGCCCUUUGUCCCGAGCAGGCAUGAGAGAAACAGAAAGGCUCGAUACGGGCCCUGCUUCCCAAGACUACAAGGGACCAUUUAUGGUGAUUUUUUUAGA